CCCCCUAACCCUGUCCAUCUUCCCCCAAGGCUAACUGAGACUUCUCUCUCCAGCUUGUGGUCUCAGUGAGUCUCAGAGAGCUUCCUCAAUAAUCGAUUCUUCC